rnacentral:rRNA from 1 species
UCUGAGUGGCGGAGAACUAAGUUCUCCGUCUUUUGACAAGCUUAGACAGCUUGUAGAAUAAGUGCUGGGUAAGACCAGUGCCAGCCGCCGCGGUAAUACCGGCAGCACGAGUGGUAUCCACGAAUAUUGGGUCUAAAGAGUUCGUAGCUGGCCUGUUAAGUUCGCUGUGAAAUCUCGGCGCCUAACGCCGAGGAGUGCAGUGAAUACUGGCAGGCUUGAGAGUGGGGGAGGUGUGGAGUACUUACGGGGUAGGGGUAAAAUCCUGUAAUCCUGUAAGGACUCACAGUGGCGUAGGCGCCACACCAAAACACGUCUGACAGUGAGGAACGAAGGCUAGGAGAACAAAUCGGAUUAGAUACCCGAGUAGCCCUAGCAGUAAAUGAUGCAGACUUUGGUGUUGCGUCAGCUUAGAGCUGGCGCAGUGCUGUAGCGUAGGUCUUAAGUCUGCCACCUGGGGAGUACGAUCGCAAGAUUUAAACUUAAAGGAAUUGGCGGGGGAGCACCACAAGGGGUGGAAGCUGCGGUUCAAUUGGAUACAACGCCGGGAAUAUUACCAGGAAAGACGGCAGGAUGACGGCCAGACUGAAGAUCUUGCCUGACGAGCCGAGAGGUACUGCAUGGCCAUCGUCAGCUCGUGGUAUGAACUGUCACGUUAAGUCGUGAAACGAGCGAGACCCUCAUGUACUGUUGCAAGCUUUCCCUCCGGGGAAGGCGCACUCUGUACAGACUGCCGCCGGUUAAGUGGGGAGGAAGGAAAGGGCGACGAUAGGUCAGUAUGGUCUGAAUUUCCUUGGGCUACACGUGGCUUACAAUGGCUAAGACAAUGGGCAGCGACUCCGAAAGGGGAAGCAAAUCUCACAAACUUAGCCUAAGUUCGGAUUGGGGGCUGGAACUCGCCCCCACGAAGCUGGAAUCCCUAGUAAUCGCUUGUCAACAUCGAGCGGUGAAUGCGUCCCCG